rnacentral:rRNA from 1 species
AAUAGAUACCCCGGUAGUCCCACGCCGUAAACGAUGAGUGCUAAGUGUUAGGGGGGUUUCCGCCCCUUAGUGCUGCAGCUAACGCAUUAAGCACUCCGCCUGGGGAGUACGGUCGCAAGACUGAAACUCAAAGGAAUUGACGGGGGCCCGCACAAGCGGUGGAGCAUGUGGUUUAAUUCGAAGCAACGCGAAGAACCUUACCAGGUCUUGACAUCCCAUUGACCACUAUGGAGACAUAGUUUUCCCUUCGGGGACAACGGUGACAGGUGGUGCAUGGUUGUCGUCAGCUCGUGUCGUGAGAUGUUGGGUUAAGUCCCGCAACGAGCGCAACCCUUGUUCUUAGUUGCCAUCAUUUAGUUGGGCACUCUAAGGAGACUGCCGGUGACAAACCGGAGGAAGGUGGGGAUGACGUCAAAUCAUCAUGCCCCUUAUGACCUGGGCUACACACGUGCUACAAUGGACGGUACAAACGGUUGCCAACCCGCGAGGGGGAGCUAAUCCGAUAAAACCGUUCUCAGUUCGGAUUGUAGGCUGCAACUCGCCUACAUGAAGGCC